rnacentral:lncRNA from 1 species
CUACCCUUGAUUAUUCUAGAAUCUAUAAAUUUUAUUUCAGCUUCCUUAAUUUAGAUUUUGGCUAGUUGUUGAACUAUGGACUCCCCGCUUUUAAGUUUUAAACUUGUAUUGGCAACAAUUACUUUCAUAUUCAGUACUUGUACCAUCAUGAAUGUCAACAUUCAAUUCUGGUAAAAUUUUUCAGGAGCUUCUUGAUGAACUUGAUCAUCUACCAGGUUUACUUUGGUGGCAGAUGGACAUGGUGACCCUGAGCUGUACUUCUCCCGUUUGGAAACUUUAUGGUUUGAGAUUAAUGAGAGGACAGACCUCGCACAGAGAAGAAGGAAUCAUGGACAAUUGUUGACUGUCAGACAGUUCUCAGUGGAAGUUGCUGUACCCAUAGUUCACUCUCUGAAGAGUGAAAUUACAGACGCCUUUCAUUGUAUCCCAGUGCUGAGUGCAUUCUCCAUCUUUGAUCUGACCAAAGUUCCAUCUGAUGUUGCAGACCUAAUAAACUAUGGUCAAACACAGAGCUCAGUCUCUGCCAGCACAGGAAGAAACACCAGACAUUGGAAAGUCCACCUAUCUGCUACAGCAAAUGCUUAGCCAUCCAGAAAUGACCAGGACAUUUCCAUGCACUGACCUACUUAAUACUGCUGUCCUGUCUAAUACCAGUCAUCUA